rnacentral:lncRNA from 1 species
ACGAUGAGGACAACAAGGUUUAUGGUAAAAUACGAGGAUAUAACUAUAUGAACGAGGAUGACUAUGACUAUGACUAUGACUAUAACUAUGACUAUGACGGGGAGUACGAUGAGGACGAGAACGGGCACGACCACUGGCACGAUACCGCGUGGGGGUUGCACGGAGACCCCCUGGUGGGGCUCGGACUCCCGACCCCACAGUCCCCCGCUGGAAAUGAUAUCAGUCGCGACUCGGUCGAGGGAGCCCCAACAGCACGACUACGCUCGGUGCCCCUCUGACGCGAACCAAAACGAUCCUAAGCAAGAGGAUAUUCAUACGAAGCUCGUUUAUGCAACAACGACACGUGUAUUAUAAACACACACACACACACA